rnacentral:lncRNA from 1 species
CAGGAUGUAACUGAGAGGACUGAACAGGCAUAAUGCUUACUACAGACAACAAUUUAGAAAUUUUAGUACAGGAGCAACUUGCUUGUUAAAUGAAAGAUUACCAAAUAGCCUCUGAAGAGUCCCUACCAGCAAGAAGGCUCUCACCAGACGUGGCCCUUUGACCUUGGAUUUCUCAGCCUUCAAAACUGGUCUCAGAUCUACAACACCUGAACACCUCCCCUGAGGAAGCCUCAAGUUCAGUGCUAGCUCUGCAGUCAACAUCAACCUAAAAUAUUACUACAGACAGAAAUCGUUCUGGAUCAAAAUUCUGAUCUUCUUUCCACUUUUUCAGACUCAUCAGAAGAGGUGUCUAAGAAGAUGCACAAAAAAAUUUGCAAGUGGACCAUUAUUGCCUGAGGGUCUAAAGUUUUACCAGAUUCUUUUUACAAUGAAGUAUAUAUAGUGUACAUGCUUGGGGAAAAUGCUGGGUCUUAAACCCAACCUCUAUUAACACGAUUAUUGCUCAUUAAUCAUGGCUGAAAAAUCUGGCAUCAAGAAUCACCGAGAUCCUAGCUACUCAAAGUGUAAUCCCUGGAUCAACAGCAUCAGCAGCAUCUGAGAGCUUGUUGGAGAUGCAGAAUCUCAGGCAGACCUACUGAACCAAAAAAAAAAAAAAAAUCUCAUUUUAACAAGACCCACAGGGGAUUGAAAUUUUCCUUCCACAUUUGAGAAGCACUGCUCUAGAUCCUCUCUCUUGAGGAGGUCAUUUACGUCAGGUUCUAUUCUUAAUAGGAAACAGGUUGAGAAAUAAAAACCUCAACAGGGCUACAAAUACGAACCCAGAAAAUGUGAAGUUUUUAGUGAAUGUUGAAAACAAGGCAGCAAAAUGGCUGUUUAUUAAACCUAAUAUAUUCUGUACUGAGAUCAAAAGGCAGGUGUUACAAGGACCAUAGCUCUAAUUAUGAAGUUGGCUAUUUCAACACGACCAGCCACUGAACACUACACGCUUCCCCUUCGUGCUUUUAGUCUUUCCCAUAAAUGCCACAUGGUUCUUUUGGCAGAAUUAGCUCCCAGAUUUGCAGUGGGAAUUAGACAAGAACAUUUUCUCCUUCCUUUCCUUUGAGAUGCAGGGAUGGGGGCUAGAGCAGGCAGCAGGGAGCACUUCUGAGGCCAGGAGUAAGCAAAACUAAAACCAGAGAAGGGGUGCCAAGAUAUGAAUGCCAGAGGGAACAUAAGGGCACAAAACUGCAAGAGGGGGAAGGAGGGUGACACAUUGCCAGGUGCCUGGGACCAGAGACGCACCAAGUGGUAGGGUCUUUUUAAAAUUUUAUUUCUUAGAAUGUAUUUUUAAUUAACAAAUAAAACUUAUAUUUAUGGUAUCUAACAUGAUGUUUUGGAAUAGGUAGACACUGUGCAAUGGCUAAAUCCAGCUAAUUAACAUAUGCAUUGCCUCACAUUUUUAUUUUUUUGUGCUGAGAACACUUAAAAUCUACUCUUAGCGAUUUUCAAGAACAUAAUACAUUGUUAUUAAUUAUAGUCACUGUGUUGUACAAUAGAUCUCUUGAAUUUAUUCACCCUGUCUAAGUGAAAUUUUGUAUCCUUUGACCACCCCUCUCCCAGUGCCCAGGCAACCAGCAUUCCGCUGUCUGCUUCCAUGUGUUACACUUUUUUAGCUUCC